rnacentral:rRNA from 1 species
GACAGCAGUAGCCGCGGUAAUACAGAGGGUGCGAGCGUUAAUCGGAUUUACUGGGCGUAAAGCGUGCGUAGGCGGCUUCUUAAGUCGGAUGUGAAAUCCCUGAGCUUAACUUAGGAAUUGCAUUCGAUACUGGGAAGCUAGAGUAUGGGAGAGGAUGGUAGAAUUCCAGGUGUAGCGGUGAAAUGCGUAGAGAUCUGGAGGAAUACCGAUGGCGAAGGCAGCCAUCUGGCCUAAUACUGACGCUGAGGUACGAAAGCAUGGGGAGCAAACAGGAUUAGAUACCCCCGUAGUCCCUGUCUCUUAUAC